GACGAACGCUGGCGGCGUGCCUAAUACAUGCAAGUUGAGCGCUGAAGGUUGGUACUUGUACCAACUGGAUAAGCAGCGCACGGGUGAGUAACGCGUGGGGAAUCUGCCUUUGAGCGGGGGACAACAUUUGGAAACGAAUGCUAAUACCGCAUAAAAACUUUAAACACAAGUUUUAAGUUUGAAAGAUGCAAUUGCAUCACUCAAAGAUGAUCCCGCGUUGUAUUAGCUAGUGGGUGAGGUAAAGGCUCACCAAGGCGAUGAUACAUAGCCGACCUGAGAGGGUGAUCGGCCACAUUGGGACUGAGACACGGCCCAAACUCCUACGGGAGGCAGCAGUAGGGAAUCUUCGGCAAUGGACGAAAGUCUGACCGAGCAACGCCGCGUGAGUGAAGAAGGUUUUCGGAUCGUAAAACUCUGUUGGUAGAGAAGAACGUUGGUGAGAGUGGAAAGCUCAUCAAGUGACGGUAACUACCCAGAAAGGGACGGCUAACUACGUG
rnacentral:rRNA from 1 species